UUUUCUCUUCCAACUGAUGUGAUGUAGCAAGAUGAGCAACAAAAGAAGAAUCCCAAGAUAAUCACGUAAUUAUGUUAGGAGAGAUUCUCAGUUCAAUCUAAUCCUGUCUAAACAGGCUGAAAGAAAUUAGUCACUCAGAAUUAUAUAAAAGGCUCUAUUGAGGACACAGAAAGAAGAGGCCCAUCUGUAAACCAGGAAAAGGACCCUCAUCAAACUGAGCUCUGCCAACACACUGAUCUUGGACUUCCCAGCCUCCAGAAUUUAUACAAGAAAAUAAGGCCGGGUGCGGUGGUUCACGCUU